AUUAGCUGAAGCGCUUCGGUGACAGGCAAUUACUGCCGUUAAUAAUUGAAAGGCCUUUGAUUAUCAUUAUAGCAUUAGCUAAUUGGGUGUUUCCGAGUGAUGGAUUAGCCUUUGUGAGAGAAGCGCGGACAUGAUAGGCCAGAGGACGCGAGCGCCAAAGUCCGGCGAGGGCAAAAUGGUGAGCGGGAAAGAGACGCUGCGGCUGCGCUCCAAAGGAUCGGCCACGCUGGAGGAAAUCGUGAGUCAGGGUGCAAAUCCCAGGCCUUUUCAACCUUAACUUUGCUCUCCAUCUCAACCAUUUGUCUUCCAACAGCCUGAUGAGUUCGAAGACAAGGCCAUCAAGAAGGUCGACGACCUGCUGGAGAGUUACAUGGGGAUCCGGGACCUCGAGCUCGCGACUACCAUCGUGGAGGCCGGGAAGAACAAGAAGAACCCAGAUGAUUUCGCCGAGGCGCUCGACUCUGUUCUGGGCGACUUCGGCUUUCCUGACGUCUUUCUAUUUGAGGUCUGGGGGGCUAUGGGAG
rnacentral:lncRNA from 1 species